rnacentral:rRNA from 1 species
CCUACGGGCGGCAGCAGUGGGGAAUAUUGCACAAUGGGGGAAACCCUGAUGCAGCGACGCCGCGUGAGUGAAGAAGUAUCUCGGUACGUAAAGCUCUAUCAGCAGGGAAGAAAAUGACGGUACCUGACUAAGAAGCCCCGGCUAACUACGUGCCAGCAGCCGCGGUAAUACGUAGGGGGGAAGCGUUAUCCGGAUUUACUGGGUGUAAAGGGAGCGUAGACGGCAGCACAAGUCUGGAGUGAAAUCCCGAGGGUUAACCCCGGAACUGCUUUGGAAACUGGGCGGCUGGAGUGCAGGAGGGGUAAGCGGAAUGCCUAGUGUAGCGGUGAAAUGCGUAGAUAUUAGGAAGAACGCCGGUGGCGAAGGCGGCUUACCGGACCGUAACUGACGCUGAGGCACGAAAGCGUGGGGAGCGAACAGGAUUAGAUACCCCGGUAGUC